UUUCUCAACUUGAAGUGAGUCUGGCCUUGGUCUGCAUCUGUGCUCUCCCCUUCACAAAAGGCAGGCCCAGAGAGACUCCAGAGAUGGACCCUGUCUCCUGUGUGUCCUCCGCCACUGUGUCCACUUGGGCACGUCAAAGGGUCCAGUCUACAAGGAGUUAUUUCAGAGAUAGCAAUGCACUUUGUCUAGCCUCAGGGCUAUGCUACAUACCCUUCUGUCUGCCGUAAUCUUACCUGCAGAGACUUUAAGCCUCCUGACAUCCCACAGAAUAUCACAUUGAUUCAUUACAUCGGUGCCAUGUUGCUGAAUGGACCCAAUGAGCAGGAAGUGGAGGCCUUGAUGUGCAGACGUGAUGGGGCAACGAUGAGACCGAAUAAACAAUUGACAUCUAACCGCAGAAGAAGAGCAAGGACCUGGGACCCAGAAGGAAGAGGCUGUGAGAGGUACAAACUGCAGGCAUGGACAUGAUGCGUAUAGAGGACAGCCACACUAAGCUUUGAGGCUUCUGGAGGCAACACAGAGUAACCAUUUGAAUGGAAAUCACUGAACAGACACAGAGAAAGAGAAACCAUCCAAUGACUUGAGGGUGACACCAAGUUUGCCUGGUGGCCUCAGGACUCCUGGCUCACUGGUCCCACUGUCUCCCCCCGCCCAUCAGAAUACAUGAAGGCUGGUGGGGCACGGUGGCCCAUGUCUGUAAUCCCAACACUUUGAGGGGCCAAGGCGGGCAGAUCACCUGAGUUCGAGACCAGCCUGGCCAACAUGGUGAAACCUCGGCUCUACUAAAAAUACAAAAUUAGCUGAGUGUGGUGGCACAUGCCUGUAAUCCCAGCUACUCGGGAGGCUGAGGCAGGAGAAUCACUUGAACCCAGGAGGCUGAGGUUGCAGUGAGCUGGGAUCAUGCCACUGCACUCCAGCCUGGCGACAGAGUGAGACUCCAUCUCC